CAUAAAAAUUUAUAAUAGAAUUUUAUUUUUUAGUCAAAAAGCUAAAAUAUAUUUAAAAGACGAGAAGACCCUAUAAAUCUUUAUAUCUAGAUUAUUAUAAUUUUAUAGAUUUUUUUUGUUAUAAUAAUUAAUGAUAUUUUAUUGGGGUGAUAUUAAAAUUUAAUAAACUUUUAAUUGUUAAAAUCAUUAAUUUAUGAAUAAUUGAUCCGUUAUUAGCGAUUAAAAAAAUAAGUUACCUUAGGGAUAACAG
rnacentral:rRNA from 1 species